GUCCACGCCGUAAACGUUGGGCACUAGGUGUGGGGCUCUAUCGACGGGUUCCGUGCCGUAGCUAACGCAUUAAGUGCCCCGCCUGGGGGAGUACGGCCGCAAGGCUAAAACUCAAAGGAAUUGACGGGGGCCCGCACAAGCGGCGGAGCAUGUGGCUUAAUUCGAUGCAACGCGAAGAACCUUACCUGGGUUGAACUAUGUGGGAAAAGCCGUAGAGAUACGGUGUCCUUCGGGGUCCACGAUAGGUGGUGCAUGGCUGUCGU
rnacentral:rRNA from 1 species